rnacentral:lncRNA from 1 species
GAAUGGACUUGGCCCUGGGGACAUGCCCUGUAUGACACUGACUUGAUGACAUCUAGUGGGAAGUCCUGAAGGUUCUUCUGCCAGAUGCCACACACCACAUCCCAACUGCCCUGCUUUCUCUGCCACUCCUCAAGGCUCAGGCUCUGAAGUAAGGCUGUCAGCUCCCAAAGUCAGACUGUGGCUGAGAUUACUGGAAGUGGCUGUGAUGCCCAUCAGCAGAUGAUAGAGAUGGGCUUCCUGGAACUGCCACUAACCUCCUGCAGACCAGGCUCCAUGUCCCAGCAGGUCCCAGCCCAGGCCCAACCUACAGCCAUAACCAUGGAAGGCAGAAGCCCCGCUGGAAGUACCUGCAGACCUGGGGCACCUUUCUGUCAUAAGCAUGGCAACUUGACCCCCAGUGAUCAUCCUUGAAUGGCAGCUGGGAACGGGGCUUGUUCUCCCUACCGUGACUGUAGUCAUCCUUCCCUGCAGCGUCCAUCCCAGCUGCAGGUCCUGUGAGCCUCCAUUCAUUUUCAAACACCUAUUGAUCAGUUUGCAUUUUAUGUGAUUUUAUAUAUAUAGAAACAUACAGCAUGUUCUCUGUUUUGGUUUGGCUUUGCUGUAUGGUUUGGAUGUGGCUUGUCCCCAA